UACGGAGGAUGCAAGCGUUAUCCGGAUUUAUUGGGCGUAAAGCGUCCGCAGGUGGCUAUUCAAGUCUGCUGUCAAAGCUCGGAGCUUAACUCCGAAUCGGCGGUGGAAACUGAACAGCUAGAGUGCAGUAGGGGUAGAGGGAAUUCCCAGUGUAGCGGUGAAAUGCGUAGAGAUUGGGAAGAACACCGGUGGCGAAAGCGAUCUACUGGACUGCAACUGACACUCAGGGACGAAAGCUAGGGGAGCGAAUGGG
rnacentral:rRNA from 1 species